rnacentral:rRNA from 1 species
GACGAACGCUGGCGGCGUGCCUAAUACAUGCGAGUCGAACGAACUCUGGUAUUGAUUGGUGCUUGCAUCAUGAUUUACAUUUGAGUGAGUGGCGAACUGGUGAGUAACACGUGGGAAACCUGCCCAGAAAGCGGGGGAUAACACCUGGAAACAGAUGCUAAUACCGCAUAACAACUUGGACCGCAUGGUCCGAGCUUGAAAGAUGGCUUAGGCUAU